CAGAAUGAAGGCAACAGCAGUGGGGAGAGAAUAAAGUCAAGGAAUCGCAUGGAUCGACUUUGGUGGACCAACAGGACCAAGGGUGAGGGAGAGGGAGGAGUCCAGGUGCUGCUUACAUCUGUCUCCAGGAAUCAGGGCCCUGCUGGGCUCUGUGGCACACAGGUACCAGCCUAUGGAGGGAGACAGACAGAGGGUCCUGGGAGCCAUGGCUGACAUCUAGAAGGAGGGAGCAUCCAACCGAGGAGGUGAGGACCCUACGGUAAAGAAGUGGCUAUGGAGGCAGAUCACGUGGCAACCGAAGCAAAGAGAAGCCCCCGUCGAUGCCGACACACACACGUACACACCCACGGAGACCCCCCGGCCCUCACCCAGGAAGCCCCGAGCGACACUCCAGACAACGCCUCACCCUCAGGGCCAGGUGUUCCCCAGGAGACGGCACAGAGCAGAUGUGCCUCGCGGCCCGCAGCUGCCCCAGACUCCUGCCUUCCAGACAAGCCAGGGGGACCAGCUCUGUCACUCGCCAGGGAGACUCAGAUGAAGUGAAGCCUGCCUGUUUGCUUUGGAACCCUUGGCAAGAUGGGGGACUACACUUGGAUGCCUGGACAUGUCAUCUGAAGGCCUGGGGGACAGGACAGGGUGGCCCUGUAACUCAAUCAGUUAUGCUUUAUGGCUUGAGCUUGGGAGAGCAGCAUCAUUUGUCAGGGCCUAAGACCCAUGCCCCUCUCCGCCUCACUCUGCACACCUCUCUCUCAGCCCCCUGCGCACCCCUGCCCCCCGCAUAUACCCUGCUUGCAGAGAGGCGAUGAAGAGCAAUGGUUAAGGACACAGAUUUUGGAGGCAGACUGCCUGGUCUGAAUGUCAGCUCUGCCACCUAAUGGCUGAGUGGACCUUAAGCCUCAGGUUCCCCAUCUGUACAAUGGGUUUGUGAUAACAACGGCACCUCUCUCGCAGGGAGGCUGGAAUGAGUUAAUGCAAGGAAAGCCCUCAGAAGGUAUCUGGCCCAUAGUGAAUACUCGAUAAA